GAUCGACGCGUAGGGACUUCUGUCGUAGGAGAGAUGGCGCCAAAUGUAUGAUGAUUACUGAUUGUAUAUGAUGUUUAUAGCUACUGUAUAUUCAUGCGGUGGGCGUCAUCUCUCUUCGACUGAAGCCCCUCGGAUCGAUU
rnacentral:pre_miRNA from 1 species